rnacentral:rRNA from 1 species
UACAGGGGGGGCAAGCGUUGUUCGGAAUUACUGGGCGUAAAGGGUCUGUAGGUGGCCAACUAAGUCCGACGUGAAAUCCCCAGGCUUAACCUGGGAACUGCGUCGGAUACUGGAUGGCUUGAAUCCGGGAGAGGGAUGCGGAAUUCCAGGUGUAGCGGUGAAAUGCGUAGAUAUCUGGAGGAACACCGGUGGCGAAGGCGGCAUCCUGGACCGGCAUUGACGCUAAAGCGCGAAAGCCAGGGGAGCAAACGGG